GCCGCCUUAGCUCAGUUGGUGGAGCACUUAGCUCAGUACCGAGCGGUCACCGGUUCGAGUCCGGUAGGCGGCG
rnacentral:tRNA from 1 species